AAAAUGGUGAAGAUUAGUUGGGAAAUUUCGUUCUCCCUGGCCAGCCGCCGCCGUUCCACUCGCCUUUCUCCCCUAAUCCCCCAAUCUCGCCAUCGAGCGAAGAUGAGGUCAACGCAGGUGUCUGCGCCUUCGAGGAACGAGGACCACGCCACCCCAUGCGCCCUCGACAAGCCUCUUGCCAUCUCCGGUUGCAUGCGUGGUCUUCUUCCCCAGUGGUGCCCGCGACCACAAGCCGGCCAAGGUGAGUGGAUGGCGUCGUCUCCUCCCUCCUCCAAUCGAUUGCUAUUGUGCGCUGUCGUCCGUCGUCGAGGUCGACCAGCUAUAGGGCGAGCAUGUGCGCUGGCCACCCCCUUCCCCUCAUCCUCUGCAGUCACCAGGCCACCUACCGGCUACCCGAGCUAGACAUCUUUGGAGGAAGCCCGUGAAGCUCGGGAUAACUCUAGGGUUUCCGCCGCCUGUAGCUAGCUCGGCCGUCCUCUCCUUGGCUCAACUGCUCAAGCUGUUGUGAGCUGUAGCUUGCUCUCCCCGCCGCCGCCUUGCAUAUCUUCCAUCGACGAUCACCUCUGCAGGGAUCGCAGCAUCGAUUGAAGCAAACCCCGGCCGCGCUCUUAAUUAUCUUCUCCAAUCCUUGAUGGAACAAUACCGUACGUCGUUGACCCGAGAAGCCCGUCGCCACAGGCUGCCGUCCGUCGUCUCGUGUUUGUGCGUCCAUUUCCGCCACUGCGCCACUGUUCCCGGCCAGCCGGGCUCGCCGGUCGUGUGGUGACGUGGCACGUCCGGCCGUCACAUGCUUAAUUAAUUACACUUUCUUUUUAUAUUAUUACUAGCAAAAGUACUCGUGCGUUGCACCGGGUGAUUACGAAAUGUGUACAGUGAACAAAAAGUGUAGUUUGGUUUAGACAUCUAAUCUGGUAAAAAAAUAUUUAUUUUUAGAUAAAUAAUCUGCUUUAUAUUUGUGGAAUAUACAUGAUGUUUAGUUUGGAUGAUUUGUAGCAUGGGAGAAAAUGGAUAGACAAACAAUGCACGUGCAGAAAAAAUAUAUUAUUUAUUUAGAGUUAGUACAUUUUAUUUAAGAAAAAAUUCCCGUGCGUUGCAACUAGAAAGAUUUAGAAAAAAAAGAAAUUUGGAAUUAAAAAUAUAAGGAAUAUUGAAAUAUGGGUUUAGAGUUCAUAUAGAAAUAAAAUUUAGAAAUAAUAGAAAUUAUAAAUUAUAUUGGAUAAGAAGUCUGUAAUAUUCUCCAAAAGAGGGUAGAGUGCAUAUAUGAAUACAAUUUAGAAAAAGAAUUGAAAUUCGAAAUAAAAAAGAUUUUUUUUGAAAAUAAACCGUCAUGAACAAUUAAAAUGGUAUUAAUGCUAUUUCUGAAAAUUACAAAAAUACUUAAAAUCAAUAAGAGAGAAAAAACUAAUUUAAGUCCGGCCCAAUAGAGCGGCCUUCUGUGCUUCACACGUGCGGUCGGCCCAUAGGAUGGCCCAAUAGCGCGGCGGCCUAAAAUGUCAUCCGGCCCGACGUGGGAGAAGCAUGGACCGUCCGAUCUUAUGGACAGUCUCGGUUGGUCCUGACCUAGAUAAAUAUCCGCAACCCUAACCCUAACCCUAAAAUCUCUCUCUCUCUCCCCUAACACUCUCUCUCUCUCUCUUUCUCUCUCGUAAAGCAACGGCGGCGGUGGUGGUGACUAUUCCAACGGGCGACGACGGCAGCAGCCUUCCCCACCGAGCAGCGGUGACGACGUCCUUCUCUCCCGCAAGCGGGCAGUGGCGCCCUGCCCUCCUGCAAUUGGCGGCGGUGGUGGCACCGCUCCCUCUCCCCACUACAGGCUCCUUCUCUCCUCGUCAAGCGGUGGCCACCGCCUCGCUAGAUCUGGUGGGUCGAUGGCUCUCCAAUGGCGCGACACUCGGGAUCUGGCUCCUCCCUCUCCCCCUCGGCAUCCAGCGCAGCGAUGGAUUGGCAGCUUCUCGGUGGCGCGAUGGCACAGCGGAUCCCGCGCAGCGUCGGUCAUCGGUUCAGAAUCUAGCCCCCCGAGUUCACGACCUCCACUCACUACACCAUGACAUAGUGUCUAUAGCAGUGUAUCUACCGUAGAAAGUUGUUUUUGUGGCAACUCAUCUGCCAGGAAAAACCAUUCCCGGCACUAGCUAACUGCCCUACAAAGUCCUGUAGGGAAUGCCCUUUGCCGGCAGAUACCAAAUCCUCGGCAGUUAACUGCCGUAGAUGCAAUUUUGGCUUCCCCGGCAUAUGUUCAAACUACCGGCUGUUAAAUGCCCUAGAUGCUUCAAACAUCCUCGGCACAUCAUUCAGGCAUCACUGGCAGUUAUAGGUUUUGCUGGCACCAAAUCAAUUGUAUGGUUUGUAAAAUAGAACAAAAAUUUCAGAUUGCAUAGACAUUAAUUCUCUGUGCAUUCAAUAAUUCAGGCUGCACAGAUUGCAAAAAUUUCAGAUUGCACAGAUACAUCAACACACUGCAGAAAACAUUGCAUUGUAGGGUUCCAUACCACAGUUUCAGCAAUAACAAAUUCAUGAGUAACAAUUAUGUUGCACCUAGGAGCAAUAUUUACAUGCCUCUGCAUAGAGCAUAGAGCAUAUGCAUAUGAGUACAGAUAAUUCUUAGCAUUCAUUAACUUUAAGUGACAUCUCUUUCAAAUUCUAAUAUAAAUACACAAUGGGUCUUUUGUAGGUCUUUGUUGUUGGGACAAGUGAUAUCUUUAGCAGGUCUUCAUUCAGAAAUAACUUCAGCAAAAAAUCUUCAAUGGACAAUUUCUGGGACAAGUAACCCUUUAGCAGAACAAUUUCAGUAGCCCUUCCGAUUUUGACCUAAAAAUAAUAGUUUGGAAUCUGUGAGCAAUCUUGCAUGUAGAAUAUAAAGAACUAUCUAUCAUAAUAUAAAUACAUUCUUAUCACAAACUGACAAGACCAUGCAAACUGGCUAGGAUCAAAGAAACAAAAUGACAACAUAAUGGUUCUAGCUCCAUAUGCCCUUGUCUCUGUUGCCCUUGUCUCUGUAGCACAUGACAACAUAACCUCCCAAAAGGUUUCAUGUUGGAUAAAAUGUUCUAGGUAACUAUACUAGUCCAUGUGGUUAAUUUGACAAACAAUCAUAGGCUGCAGUCCUAAAAUUAAGUGACCUUGUGGUAAGGUUCAGAAACUAUAUUAUUCUAUGCAAGCCACUCAUAUCCAGCAUCACAUCAAUCCAAAUAUGCAUGAGGCAAGCCACAUAGUUAACAGAAUUCAUAUACUUACCACGAACACGGCUACCUUCAGGUUGUGCUAGAGACUUUUGUUGUUCCUUUAUCUACAGAUUAUAACAUAUGCAAGUACAUAACUGAGACAAGAAAAUCAAAGUGAAUUUCAAACAAUAGACAGUCAGAUGGAUGAUUACAUGUUGUCGUGGCCAUGCAAUAGACCUUCCAACAGCAUCAGAAAUGUAGUUCAUGUUACCAUACGGACGAAGGAAUGGAGCAGCCCUUUUCAGCACGUGAUUCACCACAACUUCACAACAAUCAGGACCCAAUUGAGUGCCACUCACUACAGUCAUCCGAUUUGCUGACAGCAGGGUACCCUUUGCAACAGGAGUAUCAUGGGGGUCUAAUAAACGAGUAUAAGAUAACUUCUUUUCCAGCCUACAACAUGUGAGUGUUUCAUUGUAGUGAUGCACAAGAAUUGUGUGAAACAGAAGUGAAAAAAGAAAAAUAACAGAGGUUAUCACCAUGUGUUCUUGCGGUGAAGGAGCUGCAGGUCUUGGAGGUAUCUGCAUGUGCAUAGAUCACAUUAUAUACUGUACUAUGGAGAAGGGACAAUAUUCAUUUUCAGUGUAGGCUUAUUGUACAUACCAUUCCAUAGGAAUUGUUUUCCUCAUCACUCGGCUGAGCUUCGCCAUUU